AAACUUUACACUACGCGCAAGCGUGAUAAGGGGAUCCUGAGUGCUUAUGCGAUUUAGCAUAGGCUUUUGUCAAGAGUAAAUUCCUUGGCGAAUAAGUGGUGGGCAAGACUGGUGCCAGCCGCCGCGGUAAUACCAGCAGCCCAAGUGGUGGUCGCGUUUAUUGGGCCUAAAGCGCUCGUAGCCGGGCUUGCAAGUCCCUUGUGAAAUCGGACGGCUCAACCGUUCGGCGUGCAAGGGAUACUGCUGGCCUUGGGAUCGGGAGAGGUCGGGGGUACUUCGGGGGUAGCGGUGAAA
rnacentral:rRNA from 1 species